rnacentral:rRNA from 1 species
UACGUAGGGUGCAAGCGUUAAUCGGAAUUACUGGGCGUAAAGGGCGCGUAGGCGGCGUGUCAAGUCAGGCGUGAAAGCCCCGGGCUCAACCUGGGAACCGCGCUUGAGACUGGCAUGCUCGAGUUCGGGAGAGGAUGGUGGAAUUCCCAGUGUAGAGGUGAAAUUCGUAGAUAUUGGGAAGAACACCGAUGGCGAAGGCAGCCAUCUGGACCGACACUGACGCUGAGGCGCGAAAGCGUGGGGAGCAAACAGG